rnacentral:rRNA from 1 species
UACGAAGGGUGCAAGCGUUAAUCGGAAUUACUGGGCGUAAAGCGCGCGUAGGUGGUGUGUUAAGUUGGAUGUGAAAGCCCCGGGCUCAACCUGGGAACUGCAUCCAAAACUGGCAAGCUAGAGUAUGGCAGAGGGUGGUGGAAGUUCCUGUGUAGCGGUGAAAUGCGUAGAUAUAGGAAGGAACACCAGUGGCGAAGGCGACCACCUGGGCUAAUACUGACACUGAGGUGCUAAAGCGUGGGACGCAAACAGGAUUAGAUCCCCGCGGAGUCC